rnacentral:pre_miRNA from 1 species
UGAUGAUGAUGAUGAUGAUGAUGAUGAUGACGACGACGACGAUGAUGAUGAUGAUGAUGAUCAUCAUCAUCAUCAUCAUCAUCAUGAUCCUGAUCA